rnacentral:piRNA from 1 species
UGUGGCUCAGAAAUGUCCUAAGGCCUGACA